rnacentral:rRNA from 1 species
UACGUAGGGGGCAAGCGUUGUCCGGAUUUAUUGGGCGUAAAGAGCGUGUAGGCGGCCAAGCAGGUCCGCUGUGAAAACUCGAGGCUCAACCUCGAGACGUCGGUGGAAACCGUUUGGCUAGAGUCCGGAAGAGGAGAGUGGAAUUCCCGGUGUAGCGGUGAAAUGCGCAGAUAUCGGGAAGAACACCCGUGGCGAAGGCGGAUCUCUGGGCCUUACCUGACGCUCAGGUGCGAAAGCUAGGGGAGCGAACAGG